rnacentral:tRNA from 1 species
GGGGGAUUAGCUCAAAUGGUAGAGCGCCCGCUUAGCAUGCGUGAGGUACCGGGAUCCAUACCCGGAUUCUCCA